rnacentral:rRNA from 1 species
ACUGGAGUUUGAUCCUGGCUCAGAUUGAACGCUGGCGGCAUGCCUUACACAUGCAAGUCGAACGGGGGCUUCGGCCCCAGUGGCGAACGGUCGCGUAACACGUAAGCAACCUGCCCUGAAGUGGGGGACAACAUCCCGAAAGGGUGCUAAUACCGCAUGUGGUCACGAGUCGGCAUCGACUUGUGUCUAAAGAUUUAUCGCUUCAGGAUGGGCUUGCGGCCUAUCAGGUAGUUGGUGGGGUAAUGGCCUACCAAGCCGACGACGGGUAGCUGGUCUGAGAGGUCAAUCCCCCACACUGGCACUGAGAUACGGGGCCAGACUCCUACGGGAGCAGCAGUAGGGAAUAUUGGGGCAAUGGACGCAAGUCUGACCCAGCCAUGCCCGCGUGCAGGAUGAAGGCGUUAUGCGUUGUAAACUGCUUUUAUACAGGAAGAAACGACUCUUGCGAGAGGCAUUGACGGUACUGUAUGAAUAGCACGGCU